GAUUGUCCACUAGUAUUGCAGUAGUGCACGUGUUCGUCACUGACCUGAUACGACCAUGUGUACGACGCGGUGGAACGAACAUUAACCUGCGAGGGGUACAUUUUGCCAUAGCUCAAUACGGAUAAAUAUAAAAAUGCCGAAAAUCCGCGUGGAAAAGAAGUCACGCGUCCACCAGGAGGUUGCGAAGCAAGGACUCGUAUUCAACAAGGACUUUGGUCAGCAUAUAUUAAAGAAUCCGUUGAUCAUCCAGGGAAUGCUGGAGAAAUCGGCACUACGACCCACCGACGUGGUUUUGGAGAUAGGUCCUGGUACUGGAAACAUGACGGUAAAAAUGCUUGAGAAAGUGAAAAAGGUAAUUGCAUGCGAAGUGGAUCCGAGGAUGGUAGCUGAAUUACAAAAACGCGUACAAGGUACCCCGUUCCAAGCAAAACUUCACAUCAUGGUCGGAGAUGCUUUGAAAACUGAGCUUCCUUUUUUUGAUAUAUGCGUUGCCAACGUGCCAUAUCAGAUUUCUUCACCAUUGGUAUUUAAACUGCUAUUGCAUCGACCGUUCUUCAGGUGUGCCGUUCUAAUGUUUCAACGAGAAUUUGCACAAAGGCUCGUGGCAAAGCCAGGGGAUAAAUUAUACUGCAGACUGAGCGUCAACACGCAGUUAUUGGCAAGGGUAGAUAUGUUGAUGAAAGUUGGCAAAAAUAAUUUCAGACCACCGCCAAAAGUUGAAUCCAGUGUGGUUCGAAUUGAACCCCGAAAUCCACCACCUCCUAUAAACUACAAAGAAUGGGAUGGUUUAACUCGAAUAGCGUUUGUUAGGAAAAAUAAAACAUUGGCUGCUGCGUUCAAACAGACCGCUGUAACAACCAUGUUGGAAAAGAAUUACAGGCUACACUGCAGUUUAAAAAACACGGCAAUAUCGGAAAGUUUUAAUUUGAAAGACACAAUAAAUGACAUACUGCUUGGAGCAAUGGCUGCGGAUAAGCGAGCGAGAAACAUGGACAUAGAUGACUUCAUGAGUCUUCUACACGCAUUCAAUUCCCAGGGAAUUCAUUUUUCGUAAACAACCGAGUCUAUUGUACAUAGCUAUCUCUGCAUUCGAGAAGUUUUUCUCCCGUUCGCUACGCACAAUUCUAUGGUUUCCUCGAUUCAAUCCUAAUUAUGCGCGUACACGUAUGACAACAAUCCCAGGAGAAAGGAAGUGGGCAUCGUCACUUCUGUACGUAUGUGACAUUUACAAAAAUAGAAGUUUUCCACCAAUUUCUAAUCAA